GGGAGAUGCUCGGAGCCUGGUGGAGGGAUACAGCAUGUGUGCCAUGCAGCUCUUCAGCCAAGAAACGCCAGAGCGGCGCCGAUGUGCUCAGACAGUGGGCGGCCGCAGUGCCUAUGGCGGAGGCAGGGGCCAGGUCAUCCCCCACCCACGCCGGGAGGGCCCGGGGGAGGGAGCCUGCCUGUGCCGUCAUAUGACAGUGCUCUGGCCAGAAGGACCUUGUGUACAGUUCGAAUCUGCCUGGGAAUAGAGGGCCUGGGUGGAACUCUCUGGCUAAACGCUUCCGUCUCUCCAUGGCCCAAGUCAGCUCUUCCCUCAUGCCAGCCAGAGCAGAAAGGCAGUGUAGGUGUUUCCCCAGGAGCCAGUGGCCUGGGGCUGGGGUUGGCGUUUGGCCUCUUAAGAGCCUAUCUUUUUAUUUCUUUUUCAGUGGUCUGUAUUCCAAAUCCAGACCAAUCUCAUCAAAGCCUCAGGUGCUAUUCAAUCUCAUGGCACCUGGAGAAAGGAAGCGGAAUCCACCCAGGCCAGAGAAGCCCCGCCGUGGGGAGCAGCACAGGACCCCCGUACAGAAGCAGCUCCCCAAGAAUGGACUGCCUCCGCAGACCUGGGCGCCCCUCCAGCGCAGCGACUCCUCCAGGGUUGGGAGCCGCUCCUGCAGUUCUGCCGAUGACCACCAGGGGUCAGGCGCGGCUCUGCAUCUCUCUCCUGGGCUCCAGGACUGGACUGCGAGGGCGACCACAGGAUGCCCGCAGCUUCGCGGGGAGGCCUGGGGCCACCCCCGCUCCCCAGCCCAGGGCCCCUGCGGCAGCCGCUUCCCACGGCGGGCAUGGCUGCUGUCUCCUUGGUGAUGUCGCCAACCCCUCCGGCAAUCGCACGGCCCGGGAGAGGCAGCACCCUGGCCGGGAGAGGCAGCGCCCCGACCACACACGGCAGAUGCUUGCUGACUCCAGCAGCUCGGAGCUACCAAGCCCUGCUGCCUCCUUCCUUGUGCUCCGGGGCACAGGCCACAUGGCCGGACUCUGACCAGCACAGGUGCUCUGUGUGGUUGAAGGCACACCUCUUUCAGUCCCCACUGCGGGCUUACAAGGUAGGACAUGGUAAAAAGGAUACUGAAGCUCAGACAGGCUAAAAUACACCCAGCCAGGAAGCAGGAGGGGGUGGCAACGGAUCCAAGAGAGCCAGGGGCUUGAGCGAGAUGGCAGGGUUCCCACAGCACCUUACCUCCCCAUGGGCACCCAGUCUGUGGAUCAUCCAAACUCCUUUCCAGACACGAGCAACAACUCUGCCAUCCUGGCCUGGCACCUCGGUGGGGGUGUCAGGGACCCAGAGGCGCAAGGCAG
rnacentral:lncRNA from 1 species